ACCGAAAUAGCUCAGUUGGAGAACGUUAGAGUAUCUAGACUAUAGAUCGAAAAGUCCCUGGUUCGAUCCCGGGUUCCGGCA
rnacentral:tRNA from 1 species